UCCCUGGUGGCUCAGAGGGUAAAGCGUCUGCCUACAAUGUGGAAGACCUGGGUUCAAUCCCUGAGUCUGGGAA
rnacentral:tRNA from 1 species